rnacentral:rRNA from 1 species
GUCUACAGCCAUGCCAGCCUGAACAAGCCCAAUCCCUUCUGAUCUCGGAAGCUAAGCAGGGUCGGGCCUGGUUAGUACUUGGAUGGAAGAUCAGGUGCUGAAGGUG